rnacentral:lncRNA from 1 species
CUCUUGGGGAAGGAGCAUUUGGUAAAGUUUUUAAAGCAGAAACUGUUGGUUUAAAUAAAGCUCCAACAACUGCCAUAGCAGUCAAGAUGUUGAAGGGUAAAAUUUACUUAUAUAUUUUAGAUCAAAAAUCAAAUAGUAUUAAUGAAAACUGGAUUUAUGCUUAGGUUUUCUUUUUUUAUUAGACAAGCAUAAAAUUUUGGGAAAUAAGAAUUGAAUUUUUUCCAUCUUUUUUAUCUUUAUUGAAAAAUUUGCAUUGUUAUGGCCCUGCAACGAAUAUGGCCCGCAACAAAGAUGUCGGUGCCAUAUAGUUUUAUCCAUGUCCGUAAUUCGGUCAUUCCGUAAUUCUGUCAUUCCGUCAUUCCAUCAUUCUGUCAUUCCCUAAUUCCACAACUAGGAAUUGUUAAGUUUCAGUUUUGUUCCGCUUGGCUCAUUUUUGCUAUAAUUAUGGGCUUUGAACUUUGAUAAUUUUUUGAAAAUCACAGUUAAAAGGAUGAAUUGUUUGAGUAUAAAGGACAAGAUUAUAAAUAUCCAAUUAAUGUUCUGAUUCAAACAAUAAAAUAAUUACAAAUCAAUUAAUGUCAUUAGUGCUGUAAUGAAUUGUUAAAAUCUCAAUACUUUUAUUUUUUGUUUGAUGAUUCUAGCUGUUAAUCUGGAUUAUCCCACCUCAAUCAACAGGCCUUGAAGUAAUAAAUAUUUGAGUCAGUUUUUUGUACUUAAACAAAUAAAAACCAAUCAAAAUGCUGGAUUUUAUGUUUUGAGCAAGAUUUUUGUGCUCCGAGCACUGAGCAAAGUUUUAUGACUUCAACCCCAGGUCUAAUGAAUGUCAAAACAAAUCAGUGACAGGUUGACCUUGUUCCUAAUUAAAUUUGUUCAGGUUACAAUUAUGUGAUAAUCAUGUUUUCAAUCAUAAUUUCUUGAAAGGUUUUAAACAGUUGUUUAAAAGUUGAAAAGUUACAAAGUAAAAACGUAUUUAUAAAAAUAAACUUCUCAUAGAAUAAAUCAUCACUUUACAAUAUUAUGUCACAUGACUGACCAACAUGACUUGUGAUCACCUGAUAUAUUAUAUGGUUUAUCUUUUCAAAAUGAGUGUUGUUUAUUCAAUUUUCAUACACUUUUCUUCAACUCUUCACAUACAAAACAAUAAGUUAUGACAACAAGGAACACAACUCUAGGCUGAUUUAACCAAUAACAAAAGCUUUAUUGUGUCUUCAAUAUUAAGACAAUUGGCAAAUUUCCGGAUUGCAAAACAUAUUGACAAAUUUACACGAAAAACGUAACAACAAAGAUAUAAAAUGUAUUUUAUUUGAAUAAAACAUGACAAAUCAAGAAUAUUAAUAUUAUAACACAUAAAAAACAAUCAAGGUUUGAGCAAAAAAAAUCCUUACUUUUCACUUCAAUUGGAAAUUUCUUGGUCCAAUUUUGGACCUGAAAAAAAACUAAGAAAAUAUUUGUAGUCAUGUAUAACACACAGGGUAUAAAUGUAAAUGUGUUCGUUAUACAUACCAAAAGACAGUACUCCUUAUUACAUAAACAUGGAUAGUUUGUAGGAUCGAUUAAAACCCAUUUUAAUGUCCCAUUUAUUAUGCCCCAUUUUGGUGCAUUAUGUUUUCUGUUCUGUGCGUCCAUUCAUUCGUUCUUUUGUCUGUCCAUUUGUUCAUCUGUCCAUCCAUUGGUUCGUUCUUCCGUCCGUUUGUCCUUCCGUCUGUCUGUCCCGCUUCAGGUUAAAGGAUUGGUUAAAGUUUUUGGUAGAGGUAGUUUUUGAUGAAGUUGAAGUCCAAUCAACUUGAAACUUAGGGCUCAUGUUUUCUAUUUUAUAAUCUUUGUAAUUUUUAUGCCAAACUAGAAAUUUUCCCCCAUUUUCAAGGUCCACUGAACAUAGAAAAUGAUAGUGUGGAUGGGCUAUUCAUGUACUGGGGACACAUUCUUGUUAGCUAUAACCAUUUGAGCUUAUGUUAUCACUAAUGACUUGGCGUCCAUCAUCAUCUGUUGUUAACUAUUUCAAAAAACCUUCUCUGAAACUACUCUGAAACUACUGGAGCAAAGAUUUCAAACUUUAACAAAAAAAAAUUUCCUUAAUUAUCUGGUAUCUUGCUUAUAAAUUGUAUCCGAAGUUUUGAUCCAUCGACAAACAUGGCUGCCAUUGUUGGGUUCCUGCCACUAAAUUGGUUAUUUUAAGGAUUUUUUUUAGUUUUUUGUAUGAAAUUAAUUAAAGAUAAAGAUAAACUGUAAACAGCAAAAAAUGUUCAGCAAAGUAACAUCUUCAAAAAUGUUUUUUAUGACAAAAAUUGUCAAUUGACCCGUUACGGAGUUAUUGACCUUUAAGGAAAAUUACACAAGUUGUUUUAUUUUUUUUUUUAACUAUAUAAAUCUUCGCAAAUGAAUUUAGUAUAAAUUUGUAUUUUAUUUCCUUGUACUUCAAGAAACAAAGACACUAUGGUUAAAAUGGAACAAAUGGGUAAAAUGCAUUUAUUUGCUUUUAAUGAAAAUAUGACAGAUACAAUGAACAUUGUAUUGGCAUUUGUAAGCCUCUUAUUAUUAAAUAUAAAUUGAAAAGCAAAAACAGUCAUUGAUGAAAGAUUUAAGCAAAAAAACAAACUUGUGAGCAAUGCAAGCUCUGCUUGUUCUAUUGGGGAUCCAAGGCAGUGGCGUAGCCAGGGUUGAAAUGAUGUGGAUGUUUUGCCGAGUCGAGCGAGCCGAAAAAUGUUUUGGACCUUUUUGUGCAGAAAAUAUUUUUUAUUUAAGCACAUGUACUCCCCCAGAAUCCGACACUAGUUAGAUUUUUGUUUAAAUUCAAAAUACCCACCAAUUCAUAUAUUUAUAUUUUUAACCAAAUUUUAUUGUUUUCUUGAAACUACCAUCAUUCAAUUCAUAAAUAUUUGAUGUAAAGUUUCCCCCCCAAUCUUCUAUUUGACAUAUCAAAAACCGUUUAAACGGACUCCAUUACAGCGGCACUUCUGUAUAAUUUAGGAACUUCUGAGUAUAGGAACUGAAGUGACUUCUCUUUCCAGGAAUUUGAGUCUACAACCUUUGAUUUUUUAUUACUGAGCUAAACGCAUGCAGGAGACAUAAAAAUACCGGGCGUCCGAUCGUCCGGUAUUGUUAGCACUCUCAUGUGUACAAUUCAUGUCAGAUUAAGUGAAACUCAUAUCAUAAGCAAUGUCUUUGACAAUUUUGAAAAUAAUUCGUAAUCAAAUAUUUUUAACUAGUAAUGUCCCUUUGAAAUAUAAAUUGUAAUGGAAAUCCCAUUUCAUUUGCUGUGAAGCUUUUAUUUCUUUUUAGAUAUUAAAAAUAAAAAAGAAAAAGAAAUAAAAGUUUUUUUUAGUUAUUCCCUUGUUCCUUGGCCUUUGAUAGAUAAAAUAUGACAUGUAAUGUGCAUGGCGGGGAAUAUUGGAUCUUUGUUCUUUACUGAAUAAAAAUAAAAUUAGUAUUUGAACCUAAAUAGAAACGGGAAUUCAUAAGCCUAGGACUUAUCACGAUCUAUUACAAAUUGAUUUGUUUUAUCACGUCGUUUACAAUGUCGCAAGAAACGAUAUCAGGAUAUGGUGUUUUAGUUGUUAGUUACUAUAGUCAAAUGAGAAGCCAUCCCUCCACUAGGUUCAAUUUCAGAUGAAACAUGUCCACGGGUCUGCGUAUCAGUCCUCUCCGCUUGCCUUAGCUGAUGACAUAGACUAUUUAUACGAAGAAAAGUUAACUUGAAACACUAUUCUGCGAUUCAUGUAUCAAACUAAAUUAUCCUAAAUGAAAGACCAGGCAUACUGCUUCGAAAAUGACUGGAUGUUAUCCUCAUAUCCUCAGCCUUGUUACAUUUUGAUACUUCCGAGUUAAACUGCUGUUUUUUUUUAUUUUUGUUUUGUCAAAAUGAUGUGGAUGCUUGAGCAUCUGAGCAUACAUGCAAGCUAUGCCACUGCAAGGGGAGGGUUCCUGAUCAAUGUUUUUGAAUGGGGACAUAUAGUCCUGGGUUGGGACAAAUUACUUUUGAUUCAUUAACAUUAGUUUGAUACCAAUUUUCGUGGGUACAGGUGAACAUUGAAUUCAAAUGUUCAUUGAAUAACAUAUUUUGAAUAGGCUUUGAAUACAGAGAUUGGAAAAAUUACAAAAUCAAAUAUCCACGAUUAUGCAAGUUUUAAGCAAUCCAUGAAAAUGAAUGAAUCCACAGUAUUCUUUGAAUGUGACCAAUGGUUUUAUCCAUUAAUAAUUGUCAAUAUUAUUUAAAUAUUUUAGAGGAUGCAACCGAUAGAGAAUUGACAGAUUUAAUGCAAGAAAUGGAAGUGAUGAAAUUAAUAGGAUGCCAUGAAAAUAUUAUUAAUUUCCUGGGAUGUUGUACACAAAAUGGUAAGUGGUGUACUUUAAGGGUUAAAAACGAUCUUGGUCCAAUGGGCAGCACUUGUUGUCUGUCGUCCAUAUUAAAUGUCCGUUAACUUUUAAAAAAUCUUCUCCUCGAAAUUACACAGGACCCAUGCUCUGAGAAAACCAUCAACUGCCCCCUGUCUGAUUUGCUCCAAAUGGUUUAGUUUCAGAGAUAUAUACAAAAAUCUGCAUUUUACCCCUAUGUUCCAUUUUUAUUCAUGUGGGCCAUGAGGGUUGGAAGGUGGGGUCAUCUGAUACAUUUUUUAAAGAAAAAACAUAUUAAUUAUUAUGGUCAAGUAUGGUUAAAUGUGUCUCAGUAGUUUCAUAGAAAGAAGAUUACCCACACAUGUCAGAUUUGCUCUAGGUGUAAUACCACCAUUGAUUUUUCCCUAUUAAAAUUGAAAAAGGAAAUGGGGAAUGUGUCAAAGCGACAACAACUCGCCCAUAGUCUUUGUUAAAUUUGCACUUUUAGAAAAAAUGUGCAGAAUUUAUCUUUGUUACAAAUAAAGAUAUACUUGGCAUGAGUAAAGUUUUAUCCUGUCCAGUACUAUAGAAAAAAUUUAACAUAACAUUUGAUUGCAUACAAGAAAAUAACCAUCAUUGGAACUUAACCAAUCAAAGGAGUAGGAGCAAUAAGGCCCUUAUUCGGCCCAAAAAUUACUGUAAAUUAAAAAGUUAUCAUACAUAUAGUAGAUAAGAUGCACACAGAUAUACAGAUUAUGUGACGUCAUUUAAAUAUAUUGGUAGAUAAGGUGUACAUCGUAGUUACAAAGCGAGUUAAAGUGGUUGUGAAUCGAAAUAUAUAUAUAUAUUAUUGUGGAAAUUCCAAUACGUCACAAAGCAAUAUGGCGAUUGUUUACAUCAAUGUUGACAAUGAGUUGACAAUGAGAUGAUGUGUUGAAACACGAAAAGGAAAAUAUCUCUCGAAUGUGAAUAAAAUGCAUGCAAACGUAAGUGAAUCUAUAUAUCAGAUAUUUUAUUUAGUAUAAAAGAAUGCAGUAUUAUUCGAUUUUGUUUUAUAAAGAAUAUCAAUUGUGGUAAAUAUAAAUAAUGUGUGUUGCAUGAAUUUAAUAUUUGAAAUUUCAAUAUUUUCACAACCAUAAAAGAAAUUGUGUUUAUUUAAAUAUUAUGGAAUCUAACAUCUGAACAAGAAUUUGUGUAUUAAUAUUCAUGUCACGUGAUAAGAUAGGCACGAUAGUAGAUAAGGUGCACACAGAUAUACAGAUUAUGUGACGUCAUUUAAAUAUAUUGGCAGAUAAGGUGUACAUCCUAGUUACAAAGCGAG